GAAUAGCUCAGUUGGUUAGAGUGUGGGGCCGAUAAUGCCAAGAUUGCAGGUUCGAACCCUGUAUGGGACA